UUGACCUCACAUCAGGUAGGACUACCCACUGAACU
rnacentral:rRNA from 1 species